rnacentral:lncRNA from 1 species
UGGCCUUUGGUAAGCAGAUAGGAAGAAGACAGGAAAAGCACACUCUAAGCAUGACAUUCUGAGGUGCCAUGGUCUUCAAUUCUUAGGCAGCCACAGCCACAGAUGCACCAGGUACAUACAUUCACUGUUUAUCUGUCCACUUGGUUGCCCUGGAGGCACUUUGCAAAUUUGAUUCCAAGACCCAAAGUUUCCAUUUUCUUUCCAUUUUCAAUACCAAAUAUCCUCUGGUAGCAAGAAGGCUUUCUUUUCUCCAAGUUCUCUAAGAAAAUCCACCACCUUCUUGGACAAUUUAGUGUCAGUCUCUCAGUGCAACUGAAAUCUAGUGGCACUCCUUUCUGCUACAGGAUUAGAACAUGCACAUCUUUACAAAUCAUGGCUCUCCUGUUUUCUUUCUCCCCUUACACUGUCAAGGAAUUUUCUGGGACAAAAAAAUCUUGCUCAUGAAUCAUCAGGAGUAAGAGUUCAGAGCCCAGAAAUCAUCAUGAGGGCUUCGACUUAAAUCUCUGCAGGCAGACAUCUAUGUAAACUGCUGAAAGGAGCUCAAAAUAGCCACAUGCUUCUUCUCACAAUCCGAUUCCACACACAACUAUUUGUUUAUGAAUUGGAUCUACAGGAAGAACAGUACCUUGGCUCCUCUAAUUCACAGUUGAAAUGAUGCUAAGGGACCUUUCAACACAAGAAUGAGAAGAGGGGAGCAGCUAUGGAUCUAGUCCCCAGUCAUUGAUUUUCUUGUCUACACAAUGACUUAUGAAUGUGUGGGACCUGGGUGUAGGCCAUGAAGUUUCAAAUCAUCAUGCUCAGUAAGAAGGCAUCAAUA